GUGUCUGCAUGUGAGGCGUGAGGGAAAAGGGAAAAGACUUUUAAAAGUUGUGUGAGUUUGAACAUGGUUUGUGUUUAUUUUGAUUAAUUUAUAAUGCUGUUAUUUUUACCUGUAAAGUAUGGUUUUGUGAGAAAAAACUGGCGAUGUAUUUCUUAAUGAUAAAGUGUUCCUUGUCCAUAUCCUGCCAAUAAGCCAAAACACCGACUGAACAAAAUGGGGGGAUUUAUCAUAUUUAUGAUAGUAGCCACGAUUAUUGGCGUAUCUGCUGUGUUUAUUAAAGCAUGCAUAGACUGUUUUAGUGAUAAGAAACCACGUAAAUCUCAAAACAACAACUUCGUUUCCGACAAUUACGAAGACGGAGUGAUCUUCACCAGUGAGCCCUAUGGAACCAACUACAGUGUUGACUCUGUCAACGAAGUUACACAUAUUCAUCACUUUGAAACCAGUGAUAACAUAGAUACGACACCAGGUGACACAGACAACACUGGAUCUGGAGUUGCCUCGGGUCUGGCGGGUGGUUUUGCAGAAACAUUUACUUCUUCGUUCGCUGAUCCAGGGGGGAGUUCCACGUACGAUUCGGGUGGAGGUGGCUUCGACUCUGGAGGCGGAGGAGAUUCUGGAGGAGGAGGAGAUGGUGGCGGUUCAUACGAUUAAGACCAUCCACACACACAGAAGCUAAAAAGAAACCAGUUAGUAACUUUAGUUACCAAUCAGUUACUUAGUAGUCACUGCCCAUGUAUUUUAAUGAGUGUCUGCACACAGCGCUACUAGUUAGCAGCCGGUCUAUAAUGUGGGAGUGAUCAGUCGACAGCGGACUGUACAUGCAGGUUGCUUGGGGACUAGUUUCAGUAGUUUCUAGCCUUUUGUGAUAUUUUAUUAAAGUUUAACACGCGAAAUUGGCGAAAGAGUCGUUUAAUAUAAAAUUAGUGCAAGAAUUUGAAAACAUCCGUGCCUAUAUAAACUUGAUUAACUAGUUUUGAUGGGAAAUAAGCCUCAAUUUUACUAAAAAAAAUGAUUUUAUUAACGUUUCGACGUCCAAAUCGGAUGCCGUUGUGAAAAUAAAAAAUAAUAAUGAAUUAAACAAAAAUGUUGUUGCUUAGUAAAAAAUUCUUCUAAUAAUUUAUUUAAUCUGACUCAUUUAUAUCGGCAAUUCAGACGUAAAUUAUACAUUUUAAAGAGCAGACUCUACCAAUAUUUAUGAGUUGCGUUCCUUUGACGACUUGACUGAAAGAUAGUUUAUUCGAUUACAUGAAAUCAACUCCAACUCAAGAAUAUCCGUCACAAAAAAAUCAUAACAUGUGAUAUGUCUUUAAAAAUACAACUAUAUGCAACGGUGACAAUAAAUAAUAACAACAAUAUCAUUUUAAAGUCUUCUACUUUAAAAUGUAAAAUAUAUGUCUAAAUUGCCGAUAUAAAUGAGUCAGAUUAAAUAAAUUAUUAGAAGAAUUUUUUACUAAGCAACAACAUUUUUGUUUAAUUCAUUAAUACUUUUUGUAUUUUGACAACGGUGAUCCGAUUUGGACGUCGAAACGUUAAUAAAAUCAUUGUUUAGUAAAAUUGUGGCUUAUUUCCCAUCAAACACUAGUUAAUUACAAAAAUUCCACAAGAAAAUAGCUUCAGAACAACAUAUUAUAAACUUAAACACCGCCUAACAAAGCUACUCAGUACAAAGUACAGUCAAGAAGUGACUCGUUUUAUUAAUUUUCAGUAGCAUAGUGUGCGAGACAAGAAUCUACAGGUCGAGCAAGUCUCGUAAAUUUCACGAUUGCGAGCCACGCUUCACGCAACCGUGUUUGCGUACUUGUGUUUCGAGUUGCGUGGUCGUGCGGAGUUAUAUUUACCAAUUCGCGCAAUCGUACUUGAGACAGGUGAGGUGUUUGAAAAUUUGUGUAACUUGAUUGCUUGAUUCUGUGGUGUGAAGGUGGUUAAACUUUUGUUUUAUUUUUUUUUGUUUUGUUUGUUUUUGUUGUUGCGAAUAUAUCGCAGAAAGUUUUUAGAUGAAGUAAUUGUAUGAUGAAGAUAACACAGAAAAUACAAGAGGGCAGCAUACUUUGCAAAACAACUGUUACAAUUUGAAAUCAACAAUUUGUUAAGUUGUUGUCUUGCAGGUAAAAAAAGUGACUUUUUAAAAAAAUUAUAUCUUGGAAACUAAAAAUUAUUUUUAUUUAUAAUUGAAACAUGUAAAAGUAUAGUACUCUCAAAAAAAUUUCAGCCAAAAAUAUUCAUUUUUGUAGAGUUGACUGCAAUUUUUCGACAACAGCCUUUUUUUGCGGUGAGCAGCAUAACAAGUCCAGUCUCAUCUGAAAUCAAAGUUUCUUGUAGUUUAUACCUCUGGCUAGUGAAUGAACAAAGGAUUUUUUAUUAGAUGAGGUCAUUUUUGUUUUAUAAAAAAAACUACUUUAAAAAUGAGAAAAAUUGGGGUCAAAAAUGUGUUUAAACUUAUGUAAAAUCUUCAAAUUUAAUUUUUUUUAAUUCCUUCGUUCAUAUUCUAGCCAGAGGUAUAAACUACAAGAAACUUUUUGAUUUCAGAUGAGACUGGACUUAGUUAUGCUGCCAACGCCAAAAACUUAAACUCUACAAAAAUGAAUAUUUUUGGCUGAAACUUUUUUUGAGACUACCUUAAGUACUAUACUUUUACAUGUUCCAAUUAUAAAUAAAAAUAAAUUUUAGUUUUCGAGAUAUAAUUUUUUUAAAAAGUCACUUUUUUUACCCACAAGACCUAUGUAACCCCUUAAAAAAAUGUUUGGAAGAAUAUGUUUGAUGGCCAAGAUGCAUACAUAUAUUUAGAAGGAAAGUUCCUGAUUUCUGUAGUAUAAUACAUAAUACCGAAGAGGAAGUAGCCCUAAGCGCCGGACUCCACUUGCGAUUUGUAGUUGUGAAGAUUGAACACAUUCUUUCAAAUAGAAGUCAAUCCAUGAUUAUUUAGUCACAAAUGGAUUGACUUGUAUUUGAAACAAUGUGUUCAAUCUUCCUGAUUACAAAUCGCAAGUGGAGUGCGGCGGUAAUAACACCAAAAUAUUCCAUAUAGGUCCAUAGAAGGUACACAGACAUUGAAAAAUUCCUGGAAUAUCCCCGAAAACAUGUUCCCUGAACAUCCCAGGAAAAUCCUGUGUCAGCAUUUUAAACAUUACCUGAAUGUCUUAUUGGAACAUUCCAUGAAUGUCCACGAAUGUUCUCUGGACAUUCAAAAUAUAUUUUGUAGACAUUCCCUGGAUAUACCAGAAAUACAGUGAUGAGCGCUCUAAUAACCGGCAAAAUAGCACAAAAGAUGUAUUAAGUAGUGAGAUAAAAAGACAUGAAACUAGUCGAGCUGGGAAAUUUAGCGAUAUUAACUUAUACAUUUAGAUUGUAUUGAUUGUGUACCACCUUCAGACGUAUCAGACGAGUUUGGAAACUACCAUGCACUGUCACAGUGACAGUUUUAGUUGACAUACUCCUCCGAUAUGUGUAAAGGUGGGAUCAAUAUAACGUAAAUUUAAAGGUUAAUUUCGCUAAAUUUCCCAGCUCGACUAGUUUCAUUUCUUUUUAUCUCACAACUAAAUAUGUUGCCCAUAUUUUGCCGGUUAUUAGGGCACUCAUCACUGUACAUCCUUGCUGAUGUGACAAUACCUCCUAUCUGUUUUUUCAUGAGUUUUGUAUGAGAGAUGGAAAAACAUGUUUUAAGGUCACCUCCUGUGUUCAUAUGUAAGUUUUGACUUGUUUUGUAGUUCAUAGAUAGUUUAAUUUACUACAAAACAAGUCAAAAAAUAUCAUAUGAAAACAGGAGGUGACCCUAAGACAAGUUUUUAGUCUCUCUUACAAAACUCAUGAAAAAACAGAUAGGAUGUAUUAUUACAUCACUGACGAUAUGUGGCCAUACCAAAUAAUACAUCCUUGAUAAAUAUAAACAUUUUUAUUGAACAAAAUCUUUUCAUACAUUUUUUUAAUGCAAUUUACUGAUAUUCCUAAAUAUUUCAAAAAAAUGUGUCACAUUUGCUUUGUAAACCUUUCUUUUGCCUUUCGUAGCCACAUAUUCCGUUUCCUUCCUGGUUUUUUGUAGACCACUUCUCUCAGCUGAUUCUAAAAAAAAUAAAAUAAAUGGUAAUUUUUCUAUCCUUUACAAUUAACAAUCAGAAGAAAUAUUAUUUACAGAUAAUGAUAUGCAUAAUAAUAAUAGGUUUGUUCUAGCAUCAGUUUGAAACCAUCAGCGAAUAGUGGACCAGCGCGAGUAGAGGGGAUCGCACUGGUGACUGUAUUAUGUUCUUUUACUGACCAACUGUUUGCUGAUGGUUUUUGACUAGUUUGACUGUUUGCUAGAACAAACCUAAUAAUAAUGAAUAUUUUGUAUUUUGACAAUGACAUCUGAUGUGGAAGUCAAAACAUUAAUAAAAUUAUUUUUUCAAGUUAACUUUCACAUGCGCGUCUUAAAAUUGUACUUUUAAUACUUAUAUCAUAAAUAACUAUUAAAACUAUCUUAAGAGGAAACAGUAUCGAUCAACAGGUAGCGAAAAUGUGUUCCAAGAUUGCGGCUGUAAUUUUGAAUAUUUUUUCAAGAUAUUUGGCACACAUAUUCGUAAUAUAAUAAAGAAUGGCGGUACAGAGCCCAAUUUGAAAAAUAUAUUAAUAUGUGGAAAUUACUCUGUAAUUAAAUACAAUAUAAAAAAACGAGCUUGUAAUGCAAUUAAGAAGAACAAAAAAAUACACUUUCUUCAAAUACAACUUUUUUAUCCGAUUUUGUGUUAUUUUGGAACUACUAAAAUUUUUUAUUUCAUUAGUAGUUCCAAAAUUACACAAAAUCUGGGCAUCGGAUAAAAAAGUUUAUUUGAAGAAAGUGUAUUUUUUUGUUCUUCUUAAUGGCGGUACAGGCUCGUUUUUUAAAUAUUGUAUAAUUACAGAGUAAUUUCCACAUAUUAAUAUAUUUUUCAAAUUGGGCUCUGUACCGCCAUUCUCUAUUAUUUUACGAAUACGUGUGCCAAAUGCCUCGAAAAAAUAUUCAAAAUUACAGUGACAAUCUUGGAAUACGUUUUGGCUACCUGUUUAUCGCUACUGUAUUACCUUAAAACAUUGUAAUUUGCUAAACCAGUAUAUUUUACUCUACUACUACUCUACUAGCUACCUCAUUUUCCACUGUUUCUAAAGACUUGUUUACAUGGGUAGAGUUUUGAGGAGAGUAGAGUAGCGGUAGUACUCUACCAAAAAUGGCUUGAUACCAUUCACAUGAGGAGAGUACAAGUAUAGUACUGAUGUUAGUAUAGUGAAACCAAUUUUUGUAUUUUUAAACACUCUUGAUUAUAAGUGCACCUUAAAUUCUUAAUUUUUUGCUUAAGCUCGUUUACUCCAAAGCCCCCUUUGCCAUUCUUUCGACGAUUUCAUCCUCCGCAGCUUGCUGCAAACUUUUAUUUCUGUAGUAUACACUACCUAAAUUCCAUAAACACUGGUAUUCGACGUAUUAUAGCUCUACAAGUUUUAAAGUUUCAUCUUCGGUGAACUUCAUUUUCACUAUUUACACAAAACACAAUUCCAGCCAGAAUGACAGCGCCCCCAUGUACUCUCCUACCUACUCUAUUCUGCCAUAAUUGAGCGUGUUCCAUGGGUAGAGUGUGUAGCCGAGUAGACAUUUUGGCAGUAGUGGUGGUCAUAGAGUAGUUACUUUGCCAUAGGUUGCUAGUCACUCUACUUUAACUCCAACUAUCACUCUACCAGCUAUUCUACUGUGCUGAGCAUUUUUACAGGUAGAGUUACCCUACUCUAUCAAGUACUUGCAUCAUUACUCUACCCCUGUAAACAAGUCUUAAAUCUACUGAAUGAAAAUCUACUUAAUCUUAAUUUACUCUUAAUGAAAAAUGUCUAAAAUCAUUUACCCACCUAGUAUUAUUGUAGAAUUUAAGACAGUCCAGUGCCUUAUAAAUAAUUUCAAUAUGAAUAUUUUUUCCUUUAAUUCUCCUUUGAUACCACUCCAUUUUAGAUUUUGGGGAACUUAUUUCAUUGUGUUUAUAGCCCAUAUUUAUUGAAGGAACCCAAUCUGGAGAUUGUUAUUAUCGAUUAAGUCGGCUGGUUUUCCUAUAAGAUUAAAAUGUUAACAUCUUCAAAAAUCGUUACUGUUGUAAUUGUAACUUACCAGAUAUAAAAUGAUUACAGCAGACAGGACAGGAAAAUUUUCAUUUCGCUAGUAAAACCUGUACAUUGUAUUGCAUUCAACCAUUGUUGUCUCUCAGAUACCUUAUUUAGUUCAGUUUAAAAGUGAACUUUAUCUUGACUUUAUCACAAUUACUUUGGAUUUCACACUUCAAAACACAACACCAAUGAAGCAUAUACAUAAUAUUAUUGAAUCAGUAGAAACGAUUAUAUUUAAAUUUGGUAAAUAUAACUCCGCACGACCACGCAACUCGAAACACAAGUACGCAAACACGGUUGCGUGAAGCGUGGCUCGCAAUCGUGAAAUUUACGAGACUUGCUCGACCUGUAGAUUCUUGUGUGUGCGAGCCAUAGUUGAUAACCAGUUGAUAAUUCUAGUUACCAACUAGUUUAGUUUUUUUUUAGUAGAUGUGUGUGCGAACGGCCUAAAUGUUCAAAUAGUCCGGACUGUAUGAUCGCACCCGUUACAUAAAAUAUUCCGAUUCGUUUUUGUGCAUAAAUUUACUCAAAAAGAGUAAGUUUGUGCUUAUAUAACAAAUCCACGGAGUGCCAGGUACCGCGGUCCGUAAAAUUGUUUAAAAAAAUUUUUUUAACAAAUUCAAAAAAUCAAUUUUUUCACUUAGGACAGAUUUUUUUUAGAUUUGUUGGAUCAUUCUGAGUAAAAAAGUCUCUUGUGAUUUUUCUCUAAAAUUGAUUGUUGUUGAGUUAUACGCGAUUUAAAAUUUGAAAAUCGCGAAAAUGGCCAUUUUCAAGGGUUAAUAACUCGGUUAACUUCGAGAGAGAUGCACUAUUAUACAGCAUGUCUUUCUCGUACUCACGCCUCAAUACGCGCUUAGCGCUCAUUGUUAAUAAUUAAAAAUAACGCUUUGUGAUAUAAUAGCGACAAAAAUUUCAUCAUAAUCUUGUAGGGGGAGCUUUAAACUUUGAUUUGGUCACUUUGUAACUUUCAUAAUAAUAACUUUUAACCAGUGAUGGGGGAGAGAGGGGAUAUGACAUAAGAGAUGCUCUUGUGUUUACUAAAUGGGACCACUUGAUUUGACACUUUUGGGGAAGAAAAUAUGGCGGCGGGCAGGUUUUUUAUGUUAUACGUGGAAUAUAUGUUGUUAAUUAAUUAUUAAAAUUUUAAUUAUAUAUAUAUUUAUAUAAUAUAAUACAAUUUUAUAAUUAUAUACUUUAUAUAGAACAGAAUAUACUGCCAAAGAGUUGUUCCGCCAUAUUGCCUUCCCCAUUUAGCCCGUGAAAGCGAUCCCAUCUACUUCACCUCAUGUCACAUCCCCUCCCUCCCACAUCACUGCUUUUAACCGAGUUAUUAAGCCUUGAAAAUGCCCAUUUUCGCGUUUUUCAAAUUUUAAAUCGCGUAUUACUUGACAACAAUCAAUCUUAGAGAAAAAUCACAAGAGACCUUGUUUGCUCAGAAUGACCCAAAGAAUCUAAAAAAUUUGUCCGGGGUAAAAAAAUUGAUUUUUUGAAUUUGUUCAAAAAAAUUGGUUAAACAAUUUUCCGACCGCGGUAACCCCUGGCACCCUGUGGAUUUGUUAUAAGGACCUCUUUUUGAGUAAGUUUGUGCAAAAAAAUCGGAAUAAUUUACCUAACGGGGGCGAGCAUAAAGGCUGCACUAAAGGUCCGUAAAGUUGGCUUGUCCACUUUUAUAUAACAAUAAAAUUUUCAUGCCAUAAUUUAGUGCUCAUUUAGUGCUAAUUUUGUACCGCAGUCCCGAAUUUUGUGCUCUUUAUUUAUUUAAAAAACAGGUGGACAAGCCAGCUUAACGUUAAGCUGGCUUGUCCACUCUUAGUACACAAUGAAAAAAUAAAAUAAUUCAGAUUCUAAAUAGGCUAUAAUUUAGUGCUCAUUUAGUGCUAAUUUUGUACCAUAAACAUUAUAAUGAAAUAUUUGUUUAAACAAUUUGUUAUAAACAACAUUUUAAAAAAUUAAAAAAUAGAAAAAAAAUUUAUGCUAGAAUUUAGUGCUCAUUUAGUGCUAACAAAAUAUCCAUAUCCUGAAUUUUGUGCUCUUUAUUUAUUUAAAAAAGCAGGUGGACAAGCCAGCUUAACGUUAAGCUGGCUUGUCCACUCUUAGUACACAAUGAAAAAAUAAAAUUAUUCAGAUUCUAAAUAGGCUAUAAUUUAGUGCUCAUUUAGUGCUAAUUUUGUACCAUAAACAUUAUAAUAAAAUAUUUGUUUAAACAAAACUUUUAAAAAUUAAAAUAUCGAAAAUUUUUUAUGCAAUAAUUUAGUGCUCAUUUGGUGCUAAUUUUGUACCAUAAAGAUUAUUAUAAAACAUUAAAAUUUUAAACAGUAAUAAAAACGAAAAUUUAUAGUGAUCCAAUUUAGCGCAAAUUGUGUGCAAAUAACUAAAUAAGACAUCGUGAGAUCAAAUUUGGUGCUCUUUAUUAAUGUAGAAAAGAAUAACAGUCUAAAUAUAAAGGCAUGGUGAUACAGUUUUAAUUGAUUUUAUUUAUACGUUUUUUCAACUUUACUGUAUAUUAGAAAUUCUAUGUUGACUUUUUUGUCCACAUCUUUGGUUAGAGUUCUUUGUGUUCCUGCAUUGAGAUCAUUAAACUCGGUCCACAGAUUAUUUCUGCGACAGAUUGUUGUGUAGUGUCCCAUGGACAGUUUUCCUAAUCCAUUAGUCGACGUAAGGUCAUUGUUAAUGUAACGGAUUACUCCUACCAGCAAAUAAUAAUCAGAGGUCCCAAGUACAUCGGGAAAUUUUAUCGGGAUGUUAUCCAGAUGAGUUAAUGUCCUGAUGUCCGUUAAUUGAAUUAAGAUAAUUGGACCUGUAAAGAAAUUAUUUUAAGUGUAUGGAUUUUCUUUAAUUUAUGUGUACACGUGAAAAAUAAAAUACUUUUGUUGAUUUUAAUCAUUUAAAACGUACCACUUGAAUCAUAUUGCACUUCUGAUUGUCCUAAGCAUCCUCUUCUGCUACAAUCUCUGUCAGCUGUUAAUGCUUCUUGCAUUUCCACUUCGCUUAAAGCUUCCUUAAAGAGUAAGUUAUCCAAAAAAUAAUAAUUCGUUUCUCGGGUUCUUUGAGGGCAACCAUUAUUACAGUUUAUGACUAUUCCGUUAAUUGGUAAUUUUUCAAUUCAUUUUAACAUCAUGUCAAAAGACAUCAUAUAACAAAUUAUUAAAAAAGAAUUUAUUUUACUAUUUUCAAAUUUUUAAAAAUUUUAUUUAUAACAAAUUGUUUAAACAAAUAUGUUAUUUUAAUGUUUAUAACUAUCUGAGCACUAAAUUAUAGCCUACUUAGAAUCUGAAUAAUUUUAUGUUUUCAUUGUUUAUACUAAGAGUAGACAAGCCAGAUUAACGUUAAGCUAGUUUGUCCACCUGAUUUUUUAAAUAAAUAAAGAGCACAAAAUUCGGGAUAUGGAUAUUUUGUUAGCACCAAAUGAGCACUAAAUUCCUGCAUAACAAAAUUUUCGAUAUUUUAAUUUUUAAGAGUGGACAAGUCAGCUUAACGUUAAUGAUUUUUUAUGAUUUUUUAAAUAAAUAAAGAGCACAAAAUUCAGGAUAUGGAUAUUCUGUUAGCACUAAAUGAGCACUAAAUUAUGGUAUACAAAAAUUUUCGAUUUUUUAAUUCUUAAAAGUUUUGUUUAUAACAAAUUGUUUAAACAAAUAUUUUAUUAUAAUGUUUAUGGUACAAAAUUAGCACUAAAUGAGCACUAAAUUAUAGCCUAUUUAGAAUCUGAAUAAUUUUAUUUUUUCAUAGAGUGGACAAGCCAUCUGAACGUAACUAGCUUGCCCACCUGAUUUUUUAAAUAAAUAAAGAGCACAAAAUUCAGGAUAUGGAUAUUUUGUUAGCACUAAAUGAGCACUAAAUUCUAGCAUAAAAAAAUUUUCGAUUUUUUAAUUUUUAAAAAUUUUGUUAAUAACAAAUUGUUUAAACAAAUAUUUCAUUAUAAUGUUUAUGGUACAAAAUUAGCACUAAAUGAGCACUAAAUUACAGCCUAUUUAGAAUCUGAAUAAUUUUAUUUUUUCAUUGUGUACUAAGAGUGGACAAGCCAGCUUAACGUUAAGCUGGCUUGUCCACCUGCUUUUUUAAAUAAAUAAAGAGCACAAAAUUCAGGAUAUGGAUAUUUUGUUAGCACUAAAUGAGCACUAAAUUCUAGCAUAAAAUUUUUUUCGAUUUUUUAAUUUUUUUAAAUUUUGUUUAUAACAAAUUGUUUAAACAAAUAUUUCAUUAUAAUGUUUAGGGUACAAAAUUAGCACUAAAUGAGCACUAAAUUAUAGCCUAUUUAGAAUCUGAAUAAUUUUAUUUUUUCAUUGUGUACUAAGAGUGGACAAGCCAGCUUAACGUUAAGCUGGCUUGUCCACCUGCUUUUUUAAAUAAAUAAAGAGCACAAAAUUCGGGACGGCGGUACAAAAUUAGCACUAAAUGAGCACUAAAUUAUGGCAUGAAAAUUUGAUUGUUAUAUAAAAGUGGACAAGCCAACUUUACGGACCUCUGCACUAAAAUAUACUCAAAUAAUGUGUAUCGGAGUAUAUAAGUGUCUCAAAAGUAGUGGAACGGUCGAAUAUUUCGCGAACUAAACAUCGUAUCAAAAAAUUGAAAAAUACGUCUUCAAUCAUUUUCAAAAAUCUCUCCAAUGACACCAAACACCAAUCCCCACUACACCCCCUGAAGGUGGGGUGGGGGGUAACUUUAAAAUCUUAAAUGGAAACCCCCAGUUUUUCUUGCAAAUUUGGAUUCGUUACGUAAAAGUAGGCAACUUUUAUUUAAGACAUUUUUUCGAACUGUGGAUAGAUGGCGCUAUAAUUGGGAAAAACGAUUUAUCCUGAUACCAUAGGUAAAUUAUAGAAACGGUCUAAUAUCUCACGAAAUACACUUCCAAAUGAGAAACCAAAAAACAGAUUUUUAAUAUUUUUUGAAAACCUAUCGAAUAACAUGAAAUAUGACCCUCCAACCCACCCCCUGGAUGUGGGGUGGGGUAACUUUAAAAUCUUAAAUAGACUUUUAUUGCAGAUCCCACUUUUUAUUGCAGAUUCUGAUUCGUCAUAAAAAAUUAAGCAACAUUUAUUCGAAACAUUUUUUAAAAUUUCUGAUAGAUGGCGCUAAUAAAUCGAAUUUUUCCAAUUAAGGCGCCAUCUAUUAACAAUUCUAAAAAAUGUUACUUAAUUUUUCAUGACGGAUCCGAAUCUGUAAUAAAAAGUGGAGGUUGUUAUUUAAGAUUUUAAAGUUACCCCCACCCCACAUUCAGGGGGUGGGUUGGAGGGUCAUGUUUGGUGUUAUUCGAUAGGUUUUCGAAAAAGAUUAAAAAUCUGUUUUUUAGUUUCUCAUUUGGAAGUGUAUUUCGUGAGAUAUUAGACCGUUUCUAUAAUUUACCUAUGGUAUCAGGAUAAAUCGUUUUUCCCAAUUAUAGCGCCAUCUAUCCACAGUUCGAAAAAAUGUCUUGAAUAAAAGUUGCUUACUUUUAUGUAACAAAUUAAAAUCUGUAAGAAAAACCCACCUCCAGGGGGUGUAGUGGGGAUUGGUGUUUGGUGCCAUUGGAUAGAUUUUUGAAAAUGAUUGAACACGUAUUUUUCAAUUUUUUGAUACGAUGUUUAGUUCGCGAAAUAUUCGACCGUUCCACUACUUUUGGGACACUCUGUAUAUUGUAUUGAUUACCUUAAGAAAUAAUAUGUCUAGGCUGUGCUUAUAAACUUAAUAUGUAUGCAAUGUGUAUGUUGAAACAUAAACUAUUUCAUCUUUAUUUAUUUUACGGAAUACUGAAACUACAAGAUAUUUAUGAGUAAAUCGAUAAAACAAUAUUUUUGUGUCAUAUUGUCCAAUGUUUAAGUAUGUACUGUAAUUAUAAUUUAUUUUAAUUUUUUUUUAUUUAAAUAUCAAAGUCGCCUCAACCCGAAGGUUGUUAGCGACAAUCCUGUGACCUUUAUGUAACAAUUUUUUAAGUAACCCAAUAAAUUUUUUUCAACAAAAUUUUUAUCAUAGAUAAUGUUUUCAUCUUAUUUGGAAAAUUGAAGAAAGUCUUUGAGUUUCAUAUUUAGGACAAUCUAUCAGGCAGUGGUGUUAAUUGUCUGUCGAUCGCAUUACAAGUUUCGCAUUUGGCAUUUGGAGGUUCGCUACUUGAGAAGAGAUAGGCAAGGUUCUACCUACAAUGUUCAAGACGUAGACGUGUCACAGUAUGUAUGAUAUAAUUCUUCAAUUUGGAAGAGUGAUAUCAUCGUUUAAAGGGAGAAUAUCUCAAAUUUAAAUGUACACGGCGGCCCCCGGAAACUACCUGUUUAAUUUGCGUUUUUCCCAUAAGAAAUCACAGAAUGUGUAAGUACUAAAUUUAUUUGUGCUUCUCUAUAGCAGAAUUGGUCUGCUAUUGUCAUAAAAAGCUUGAAUUUUGUCGACCCAGCGAUUGUUACCGUCAUAAAAAUGUCAAAAAACAUGUUUUUUUUCAAUAGUAAAAAUUAGUAAAACCUGAGGCAAUAAAUCAUGCAUCCAUAGAUAAUAGGGUUAGGUUACAAAAAAACCAGUUAUUCUUUACCACGUUCCUAUACGAGUAGCAAGACACGUUCAUUUACAUGGGCGGUUCUAUGGGAGUUGCAUUUUAUGAUUAUUUGUAGUGAAUUUUUAAUUAUAUUCUGUAAUUAUAAAUAAAUAUAAAUACUGUAUGUAAAUUAUAAAUACAAUGGACGAACAACCGAAUAGUUCUAAGAGCAGCACUGCAUCUUCAGAUUUAGACAGCGAUUAGUGUUUUCUAAUAGUUUAGUAAGUUUAUAGUGUUUGGUUUUUGCAAAAUAGGAAGUGGUUAAAUGCUCAAAUGUUUUAAAUUUACGGAAAUAAAAGGCAGAUAUCGAGCACUGAGUUUUAUUAAAUCUUACCCAAGUAUACUUUCGCUCCUAGAGCAUCUUCAGGGGCAUUUCGUUAAAAAGGAAGGUAUCCUCGAAUGUUAUUAACAUUUGUUUGAAUUAUGGUGGCAUCUUAUAACAUAUACUUAACAUACACUAGACAAAGGAUUCAAUAUGCAGAAGUACCCAAGUACCGGCAAUCAAUUUUUAUCCGUUUGUCAUUCGUCUCGUGUAUGUUAAGUUAAGUUCCCACCAUAAUUCAGACUAAAUGUUAAUAACAUUCGAGGAUACCUUCCAUUUUUGACGAAAUGCCCCUGAAGAUACUCUAGGAGUGAAAGUAUACUUGGACAAGAUUUAAUAAAACUCAGUGCUCGAUAUCUGCCUUUUAUUUCCGUAAAUUUAGUGUUUGUGUUUAAAUAAUUAGAAUAGUAGAAUAUUUUGUUACAUUAGAAAUUAUUUUUAUUUUGUUUUUAUGUGAUUUUAUUUUGUUUUAUAUUGCUUUGAAAUUUUUGUACUUAGUACUUAGGAAACUCAUUUUUCAACUGUGUGCAGAACGUACUGCACAAUUUUAUUUACAAAAACACGGAAGGGAACUUAAACCCAAAGUAACUCAUGAAGAAAUAAAAAAAAAUUUUGGGAUCCAUGCAGUGAUGGGUUGUUUAAAAUUUCCUCGAAUUCAUUUAUAUUAGAGCAGUCGCUUUAAACUUCCUGUAAUUGCGGAUGCAAUUCCAAGAGAUAGGUUGUACCUCUUGAGAGUCAAUCUUCAUAUUGUGGAUGUAUGCACGGUAACAGAAGAAAUUUAAAACAAUAAUCGUCUGUGGAGAGUUCAGCCAAUGAUCGAUUUAGUCAGAAGCCGAUGUCGGGAAUUAAAGAGAGAAUCUGAAGCUGCAUUCUCAAUAGACGAAUAGAUGAUUCCGUUUCAUGGUCGAUGAGUUUUUCGGCAAUAUGUAAAAAAUAAACCUAGACCUGUGGGUUUAAAAAAUUUCGUUUUAUCAAAAAGUGAUAGUACUGUCCUAGAUUUUUAAAUAUAUCAAGGAACAAGUACCAAUUUUAAGAAAUAAAGAACUGGGACUCGGACCGUCAGUCAUCCUUAGGCUAGUGGAAACGUUACCGGUUUAGCUUUGUAUUCUUCGACAGAUAUUUUUCGACGAUACCUUUGUUGCUCAAAUUAUCUGAGCUACAAAUACAUGGCACAGGAACUAAUAUGAACUAUUAUGAGCAAUCGUUUUAAAGGAUUUACAUUUAAAACAGAUAAUCAGAUGAAAAGAGGCGAUUCUGAGCAGGUUGUUAGCAGUGCUCAAAAGAUAUGUAUCACUAAAUGGAAAGAUAAUAAAUCCGUUUUAAUGGCAUCUACGGUUUUUGGUCAAGAACCCACACAUUUGGUCAAACGAUGGGAUAAAGCUAGUGCUAGUCGUGUAGAGGUUCAAAUCAAAAGAUAUUAAAGAUUUAUUAUCCUUUCGCUUAGAACUAGCAGAUUAUUUGUUAUGUGGAACGAAAAGUCCAAAUACAGAAAACGGGGACACAGAAGAUGAACAUGAAGACCCUCGUCCAAAGAAAAUGAGACCGUCACCUUUACCUUGCACUGACAAAAGAUAUGAUGGUUUUAAUCACUGGCCUGUCUUGGAAGAUAUAAAAAACCUUUAUGUUGCAGAUUAGAAUCCUGUAAGAGUAGGUCAAGAGUUUCAUGCAGCAUAUGUAAAGUUUAUCUCUAUAUGAGCCAAAAUUAAAAUUGUUUUUUUAACUUUCGCAACAAAUAAUGUGUUAAAAAUAUACUAGUUAUUAACGUUUGUAAUAAAUGACAAAAUGUGUACUUAAUAUUACUAAUAAAGGUUGUAAAAUGUUGCAA